GAAAUUGACAAGUGAUUUUUUUUUAUCAGUAUAGUGGUUACAAUCCAAAGAUGAGAACAAAUGCUAAGCAUCCUACAUUCUAAGGAGAGCCACUAGCAACUGGCUGUGGCCACCCUCCUCUAAGCCAUGCUAGACCAAGCCAGAAUUGAUUCUACUACCAUUAUACAUGUGCCUCCUUUUUCCCUCUGGGCCAAUAACAAGAGAUGCUAAAGAAGCUAUUAGCCUUGUGAGGUAUACAGGGGUUGAAGUGAGAGGUUAUCAUUCCUCUUCUCAAGGGGGAGGAGAGCACAAGGGAGGACAAAGCUUACAGAAAAUCCCAUCUUAAGGUGGGAAGUGUGUGCUGUAAGGAGGAAUCACAGUAAUUUUCCCUGGAAGGAUGUCAGCCAGGAGAAAGGAGAACAGGAGGAAGAUAGGUGGAGGGAGUCAUGCCCCAGAGGUAGCUGGGGAGGGGAGAGGAGAUGAGAGUGGAGGCUGGAGACAGGGCCUAUGCAGUACUGGGGGAUGGGGAGGCAAAGAGGGACAUAUCAGAGAGAUGUGUGGUGACUGCCACCAGCUAGAAACCAGCUAGAAGAAGUGACCGGAUGCCUCAGGGGGCUUCCAAUGCCUGACAACUAAUCACUCAUUCCCCCACACUGGAGCCACCAGCCAUCUUCAUGGGGCUGACAGACAGACAGCAAGAUUGGUAAGUUUGUCUAACCAAAGAGAGAAAUGCAGUAUCACCAGCAAAGUAAGGAGUUUUAAAUUUUUCCACCUCUCCCUCCUCAUUCCUCUAAAAUUGUUUCAUGAGUAGAAAAGGGAGAUGGGAUGUAUCUUGCAGCCAGGGAAUAUGUUCUGAACUAGCUAGGGCCACACUUCUAGCUGGUGCUAAAAAACGAGAUGUGUUAAUCAGUUUACCAGACAGAGACUUUUAAUAACUGAAGGUGGUUGAAAAUUAUAAAAGUGGACCUAGAUAUCAUUAAAGAAGAUUCUACCUGGAGGGAAAGUAAGAGCAACGUGACUUAGGUGAAGAUGGCUACUGGAAUUAAUAAAACCUCUCAUGCCUAUGCCUAAUGGAUUGAGUCUCAGUAAAAUGUACACACACACAGACACACACACACAAACACAUACACACAAACACACACACACAUAUAGAGGUAUGUACAUAGAAAAUAUUCUAUAGUCCAGGGAAGAGGUCAGCAAACUCUUUCUGUAAAGGGCUUUGUAGGCCAUACAGGCUCUGUUGUGACUACUUAACCCUGACAUUGCAGUGCCAAAGCCGCCAUGGAUUAUAGGCACACAAAUGAGCAUGGCUCACUUAAUAAAGUUCCAAUAAAACUUUAUUUAUAAAAACAGGCAGUUGUCUAGUCUUGAUCAGUGGCUGUGCUUUGCCAACCUCUGUUUUAGAAGAACUAGCAGAACGUCCAUCACAAUGUUAACCCUCAAGGACUGGGAGGGGUGUUCCAACAAAAAUUGCAAUGAACAAGUGGGUCAAUGGGAACUUUUGAAAAAUUUUCUGGAGGCUAGAAUGGAAACAGAUGUCACCAUCAAGUGCAGGGGAGUCCACUGGCGUUGAGCUAAAUUGAAGGGCAAAAGAAGCAGUAGGUAUCUAGAGCAGAAGGCAGGGGAUUUUAGAGAGUGCUGAGUAGAGAGACACUGCCCGGAUAAAGAAACCACAGUCUCUCUGAAAGGACAUAGUGGGUUCCACACGUGCUUUCCAAGGUCAGGUGAGGCAUCAUGGUCACUGUUGUCCACAGUCACUUCCCUUCUAAGAGUGAAGAGUUACUGUGUAGCCCACAGUGCCCUUCUGGGGCAAUCCAGGUCAUGUCAGUGACCAGAUUCACCCAUGGCUAAGGCUUAGCCAUUGCCUUGUUCCCCAUGAAAGACCUGGGAAAUAGUCAAAAGUAGUACAGACACAGAAUCAAACAGGUCAAGGAACAGAUCCUGGCUCCAUCAGUGCCAUCUCUGUGACCCUUGGAGAAAUUACAUAACCUCCUGAGCUACUCUCCUCAGUAGUAGUAGUGGCAGCAGCAACAACCAACAUAAGUGUUUCCUGUGUACCAUUUUAGACAUAUCAUCGAUGAUCUUCAAAAACUUUCUGCCAGAUAAAUACUGUUAAUAAUAAAUGCCUGAAAAGGAGAUGAUACUAUCCCCCUGGCAGAAUUAUAAUGAGAAUCCAAGAUAAUUCAUGCUAAAUUCCUACUCUGGCACUUGACUUGGUAUUGGAGUUCAAGAAAUGAUACUUAUUGUUAUCCUUUUUAUUAAUCAUUUUUCAGGAGUAGUGUGAACCUGGCACUAGGCAUGGAGCUAGAACAGUCAUCUACUGCCGGUCUCUGUGACUUUUUAGUAAGUUUCUGUAGGACAAUGUGCACAUUUCUCAGAUAACAAAAAAAGAAGACAUCGUGGGCUAGGCCAGUGUUUCUGGAAGCCAGGACUGCUGUCCAGGAUGGGAUUAUCUCCAACAUAUGGUUCAGCCUGCUUACAAGCUUGAGUCAGAUGUUUUCUCCUGGUAAACCAGCUGCCUCCCUCAAGAAUGACAUCAUCAUGUGGUGGGGACCAUGGUAACCUGAGCAGAAAGAACCACCUUGGAUUGUACCCUCAGCAGGGAGCUUUGAGUUGAACCAAAUGGUGUUGCUGCUUCAUGAAAGUCCCUUGCGCAUCCACAGAUGGUCAUCCCACAAAAGAGGAGAAGUCAGUUGCCAGUUGGUGGGCCUGAACCUCAUUGUAUUCAUUUCCUAAAGCUGCCAUAACAAAUUACCACAAACUCAGUGGCUUAAAACAAUAAAAAUUUAUUCUCCCUCAGUUCUGGAACCCAGAAGUCUGAAAUCGAGGUAUUGGUAGGGCCAUACUCUCUCAGAAGGCUCCAGAGGAUAAUUCUUCCUUGCCUUUUCAAGUUCUGGUGUCCCCAGAUAUCCUUGGCUUGUGGCCACAUCACUAAGUUCUGCCUCUGUUUUCACAUGGCCUAUUCCUAUGUUGUUCUCUCCUCUGCGUGUCUCUGACAAGAAUACUUGUCAAAGGGUUUAGGACUCACCUGGUAAUCUACGAUCACCUCAUCUCUUAGUUAUAUCUGCAAAGAGCCUUUUUUCAAAUAAGGUCACAUUCACAGGUUCCCAGGAUUAGGAUGUGGAGAUAUAUAUAUAUAUAUAUAUAUAUAUAUGCUUUGGAGGGCAACAUUUAACCAGAGAAAUAACUAUGAAAUAUUUAACAUUAGUCCAACUCCUGAACAACCUGGCACAUAUUAAGAGCUCAACAAAUAUUUGUUGGAUAAAUGAACAACUCAGCACUUUAAUUUUACCAAUUGGGAAACUGAAACCAGGAGACGUGAUCUACCAAAAUCACACAUCUAGAUUAUAUUAAAUCUUGAACUGAGCCCAGAUUGUCUGCCCUGGGUCUGAGGCUCCCGACUUCACAGUAGGCCAUCACCUUAUUGCUGUUGCAUUACAAGUAAGAAUAACUGAGUUUCAGAGACACUUGACCAAACUCAACUUAUUAUCAACUGGCCUAGGUCCCCAGAUCCCCAGCCCAGAGCCACUUUCAUCUCAUUCUACAACUUGAAGGCUUUCUUCAUCAAGCCUGGAAAGGAAGUUUCAGAUAGUAAAAUGAAGUUCCAGAAAAUCCAAGGAGAAAACAAAGAAUAGCAUGAGGUAUAUUUUAUCUGUACUAAAGAAGGUUGGUAACACAUUCUGUUUUCCCACCUUUUCCUACAAAUUCCUCAAAGAUACACUGUCAACACGCAGGAAGGACCAGGCCCUUACCCGGUGGAAAAGCUUUUGGAGCACAGCUCGAUAUUUUCAGAUACACAGCCAGCCCACACGAUAGAGGCUCAGUCACCUCAGAACUAAGAGGGCCUCUCCCGACUUCUCCAAGGUGCUGCAAAGCCAGGAGAGCAGUGUGAGAGAAAAACCAAAUGUGUCUUACAGGGAAAAUCAGGUCUUUAUUCACACAAUACCCUUCAUGGUUUUUAUCUAAAUGCCAAAGCUACAAAAGAAAAAAGGGAAGAAGGAAGUUAUCCUUUCCCAGUACCCCAUUCUUGGUUGCCGUGACAACAUCCAACUGCUGCACGUCCUGUUCAUCCUCUUGGUUUCCCUUGUCCCCACUCUCUGAGGUGGCCAUUUGCCUUCUGGUGCCUCCCAUUGGUUAAACCUAACCAAAAUAUGUCUCUAGAGGGUGCCUAUUUCUUUCUUAAAUAUUGAGAAAUUUCGAUAGAAGUCAAGAUUUCCUGCUUCUCUUGAAACAUCCUAGGCUCAUACCAGAGUCUGAAUUCCCACAGGGCUAUAUAAUGGGCUUGAAUUUGGAGUUUGAUGAUCCUUCCCUCUGAGUACAGGCUCUCUAGGUCACCACUGUUCCCACCUGACUGCUUCUUUCCUUCAUGGUACCAGCCUGAGGACAUUUUACUUUGAAUCCUUUCUUUUUGUCAACUGGUAUUCAUUCAGUAGGUUUCAGCUAAGCAUGUCAUUUACAUUGUUGUAAGAUGACUACUCAAGAAUAGGCAAGUGCUAUUCAUAGUUCAAAAGUGACUUCCACAAACAAAGGUCCUAUGUAAUCUCUCAUAAAAAUUUGAGCUUGAACAUCUGAUUGGAUUUUCCCUCAGCCACCUUAGCUCUGCGUCCCCACAAUACCAGAGGUUUCUGCUGUUGGAUGCCGGUUUCUGCUGAGUACUGGACAGCUCCACUUUUUGCUUAAAGUCAGAACAUGGGCAUCUAAAAAUAUCUCAGUCAUCACUGCACUGACAUAAUGCUUCUGUUGCUCUAAGAGCAGAUCCUCUGUCAAAAGAAUCAUUUCAAGAGCCAGUUUGGUUUAAGUUCAAUAGCUACAUGUGAAAUGACUUUGAGCUUUCAUUUUCUCUCUCUCUCUUUCUUCCUCUCUGGAUGUAGAAGCUCUUUUUAAAGGAUCUGGAUAUGGCAAAAUAGUAGGAGGGAGUGUGGAGAACAAUUCUGCCUGGAAUUGUAGAGCAUGCUUUGACUUAGCGUGUGCAAAGGCAUUAGUCCCAAGCAUAUGUCUAACACAUGAUAGGUGCACAAAAUACAUUGGAAGGAAAAUGGAGAGGAAGUUACCCAGUGUGUAGGCUUCAGUUUCUCCAUUUUGUUUUAGUGACCUUUAUUGAGCACCUGCAAUGUGUAAAGCAUUCUUCUCGGCACAGUUGAGUUUCAUUGAUUCACUUAUUCAUUUUUCCGUUCUCUGAGUGUCCACUUAGCUUCCCUACUGUUCCAUUUGCAUAUGUGAUUUCAGUUCUCGACUGUCAGCUCAGAAUCUUAUCACUCACCCAAAUAUUCUUUAAGAGCAAAAGGCUGCUCUUAUCAUCAGCAGUUAUCACAAUACAUUUGCUAUCUAAAUUUAACAGGAAAUUUCCUAUAUUUGUUCUACAUGGUAUAAAAGAGAAUCUCUGCAACCACUCAGGAAGAAAAUUCUCCAGUAGCUUUGUCUGUGGGCUGGAGUGACUCACUUCAUCUCAAAUUUACCUAAACCCUGGAGAGCUCACUGGGACAGGUGCAAUGGCAACUGGUUGUCCUCCAUUGGACCAAGUUCACUGAACGGUACAUCUAACAUCUAGAGAGUAACUCACCAACAAGGAAGUCAUUGUGUUGUCUCACCAGAUUGUGAUCAAGCCCAUCCACCUCCCCAAAGCAUAAUACUUGACAGGGACUAGGCACUCAACAUACUUUUGAUCAAUGAAUGAAUGAAUGAAUGCACAGAGAAUGAAUGAACAAACGAGGCACCAGUUUUUCAAGUAAAAUGGAGACCUAGAAAUUCCUGGGCUUCUGUUCUAACCACUAAAUCAAUCAAUGUCCUCUCCAUCAGCAAAUCUUACUCUCAGUGGGCUGAAUGCACACCUCUUUUCAUUUUAUAUAAUAAAUUCAGAACUCUGACAAGGCUCAGUGCCUCGUGGUUUUUUUUUGUGUGUGUGUGAUAGGGAUUUGAGGAAAAAAAUGCAGCAGGUUUCCUUUACCAUCUGACAAUAGAGCCCGUGGAGAUUCAAAAAUAUCAA
rnacentral:lncRNA from 10 species